CUUUUGAUAGCUCAGCUGGAAGAGCGGAGGAUUGUAGGGUCAUAAGAACAGUUAUUCUUAUGUCGCUGGUUCAUCUCCGGCUUGAAGGA
rnacentral:tRNA from 1 species